UACGUAGGGCGCAAGCGUUGUCCGGAAUUAUUGGGCGUAAAGAGCUCGUAGGCGGCCAGUUGCGUCUGCUGUGAAAUCCCGGGGCUCAACCCCGGGCUUGCAGUGGAUACGGGCUGGCUGGAGGCAGGCAGGGGAGAACGGAAUUCCCGGUGUAGCGGUGAAAUGCGCAGAUAUUGGGAGGAACACCGGUGGCGAAGGCGGUUCUCUGGGCCUGUACUGACGCUGAGGAGCGAAAGCGUGGGGAGCGAACAGG
rnacentral:rRNA from 1 species